GGGUGUAACAAUAGGGAUGCAUCAAAGUAGCAUGUGGCACUGGAUGCCCCACUAUGCAAUCUCAUGAUGGCUCUGAGUCAUUCGAUGAAUAUGCAAACAAGUUCUCUUGUUAGAGUUUGUCUAAUGGGGAUCCCUCUAAUGCUCACAUCAGUCAAAAAAAAAUUAGAGAACAGUAGAAGAGAGUGAAUAAAAAGAAUGAGGACUCUUCAUGGCUUGAGAGGCUUACCCAACGGACCC
rnacentral:lncRNA from 1 species